rnacentral:rRNA from 1 species
CCUACGGGUGGCAGCAGUGAGGAAUAUUGGUCAAUGGGCGCGAGCCUGAACCAGCCAAGUAGCGUGAAGGAUGACUGCCCUACGGGUUGUAAACUUCUUUUAUAAAGGAAUAAAGUGAGGCACGUGUGCCUUUUUGUAUGUAUUUUAUGAAUAAGGAUCGGCUAACUCCGUGCCAGCAGCCGCGGUAAUACGGAGGAUCCGAGCGUUAUCCGGAUUUAUUGGGUUUAAAGGGAGCGUAGAUGGGUGGUUAAGUCAGUUGUGAAAGUUUGCGGCGCAACCGUAUAAUUGCAAUUGAUACUGGCAGAGUGUAGAAUAGAGUAGGGAUAGGCAAUGUGUGUGGUGUAGCUGUGA